GAGCUCGUAGGCGGUUUGUCGCGUCUGCUGUGAAAUCCGGAGGCUCAACCUCCGGCCUGCAGUGGGUACGGGCAGACUAGAGUGCGGUAGGGGAGAUUGGAAUUCCUGGUGUAGCGGUGGAAUGCGCAGAUAUCAGGAGGAACACCGAUGGCGAAGGCAGAUCUCUGGGCCGUUACUGACGCUGAGGAGCGAAAGGGUGGGGAGCAAACAGGCUUAGAUACCCUGGUAGUCCACCCCGUAAACGUUGGGAACUAGUUGUGGGGUCCAUUCCACGGAUUCCGUGACGCAGCUAACGCAUUAAGUUCCCCGCCUGGGGAGUACGGCCGCAAGGCUAAAACUCAAAGGAAUUGACGGGGACCCGCACAAGCGGCGGAGCAUGCGGAUUAAUUCGAUGCAACGCGAAGAACCUUACCAAGGCUUGACAUAUACGAGAACGGGCCAGAAAUGGUCAACUCUUUGGACACUCGUAAACAGGUGGUGCAUGGUUGUCGUCAGCUCGUGUCGUGAGAUGUUGGGUUAAGUCCCGCAACGAGCGCAACCCUCGUUCUAUGUUGCCAGCACGUAAUGGUGGGAACUCAUGGGAUACUGCCGGGGUCAACUCGGAGGAAGGUGGGGAUGACGUCAAAUCAUCAUGCCCCUUAUGUCUUGGGCUUCACGCAUGCUACAAUGGCCGGUACAAAGGGCUGCAAUACCGCGAGGUGGAGCGAAUCCCAAAAAGCCGGUCCCAGUUCGGAUUGAGGUCUGCAACUCGACCUCAUGAAGUCGGAGUCGCUAGUAAUCGCAGAUCAGCAACGCUGCGGUGAAUACGUUCCCGGGUCUUGUACACACCGCCCGUCAAGUCAUGAAAGUCGGUAACACCUGAAGCCGGUGGCCUAACCCUUGUGGAGGGAGCCGUCGAAGGUGGGAUCGGUAAUUAGGACGAAGUCGUA
rnacentral:rRNA from 1 species